rnacentral:rRNA from 1 species
UUGGAGGCAGCAGUGAGGAAUAUUGCACAAUGGGCGCAAGCCUGAUGCAGCGACGCCGCGUGGGGGAUGACGGCCUUCGGGUUGUAAACCUCUUUCACCAUCGGCGAAGCCCAUAGCUUUUGUUGUGGGUGACGGUAGGUGGAGAAGAAGCACCGGCCAACUACGUGCCAGCAGCCGCGGUAAUACGUAGGGUGCGAGCGUUGUCCGGAAUUACUGGGCGUAAAGAGCUCGUAGGUGGUUUGUCGCGUUGUCCGUGAAAUUCCCUGGCUUAACUGGGGGCGUGCGGGCGAUACGGGCAGACUGGAGUACCGCAGGGGAGACUGGAAUUCCUGGUGUAGCGGUGGAAUGCGCAGAUAUCAGGAGGAACACCGGUGGCGAAGGCGGGUCUCUGGGCAGUAACUGACGCUGAGGAGCGAAAGCGUGGGGAGCGAACAGGAUUAGAUACCCCGGUAGU